UACGUAGGUCCCGAGCGUUGUCCGGAUUUAUUGGGCGUAAAGCGAGCGCAGGUGGUUUAUUAAGUCUGGUGUAAAAGGCAGUGGCUCAACCAUUGUAUGCAUUGGAAACUUGUAGACUUGAGUGCAGGAGAGGAGAGUGGAAUUCCAUGUGUAGCGGUGAAAUGCGUAGAUAUAUGGAGGAACACCGGUGGCGAAAGCGGCUCUCUGGCCUGUAACUGACACUGAGGCUCGAAAGCGUGGGGAGCAAAUAGG
rnacentral:rRNA from 1 species